rnacentral:rRNA from 1 species
UACGUAGGGGGCAAGCGUUGUCCGGAAUUAUUGGGCGUAAAGCGCACGUAGGCGGUUUGUUAAGUCAGGGGUGAAAUCCCACAGCUCAACUGUGGAACUGCCUUUGAUACUGGCAAGCUAGAGUCCGGAAGAGGUAAGUGGAACUCCUAGUGUAGAGGUGGAAUUCGUAGAUAUUAGGAAGAACACCAGUGGCGAAGGCGGCUUACUGGUCCGGAACUGACGCUGAGGUGCGAAAGCGUGGGGAGCAAACAGG